AUAAAGAGUCAGUUCCAAAGUGGAAAUUUGUCAAAAGUAAGGUUUCACUUAUAAAAUCGAUAACGUGUCUAAAAAAAAAGUUUCGUUUGAAAAUGAGAGUGUUUUGGCAAGUUUGUUUUCUUGUAAUUUUUUGUGUAAUUGAAAAAAAUUUGGGACAAAUCUGCGAUAGUACCGACUCAAGAGAUGCAUAUUGUAGAGAAAAUCCUGCAUCAUAUACCUGUUGUAAUGAAGUCAUAAAAUUGUGCUGUGAGAAAUGUUUAAGAGAUGUUAGAAAUUGUGUGGACUAUUUUUGUAGUAAUAAUUGUGUAGUCAACGUUAUAGAAGUCCACGUUAAUGCUGAUACAUCAAAUGAUUCAUGUGAUGAUAUGGGGUGCUGCGAUUGUCCCGCUGAUUGUUCCACCGAUUGUGCCGUCGAUUGUCCCAUAGAUUGUGCCGCCGAUUGUGCCUGCUCAGAAGACAAAUAGGAAAAAUUAAAAACGGUUUUGGCUCAUUUCGAAUUCACGGCAACCUAUCUCUUUGUGGAAAGGAUAUUGUUGGUCAGCUCAACAACCGGGGCGACUGCGUUUAUUAUAAAUAUCUAUGGAGCGAUGCAUCAUUUCCAAGAAAUACAAAGUUAAUGCAGAUAGCACAGUGGUUGUUCCAACCGACCGACAAUAUGUUGAAAUUUUUUAAACAAUUCAUUUUGGUAAAUAUUUUAAUAAGACAAGAACUGGAAUAGUUUGUAAUAUAUGUUUCUUUGGAAAAACUAUGUGAAAUUGAACAAUAUUUUCUAUGUAGGGAAAACUGGGGCACUACCGAACAUAGGGUAGAACCGAACACUGAUUUUUAUUUCUAAAUAAAAUAAAGCAUGUAGACCUGCAUGUAAAUAAAUGAUAAAUUUUUCUAAAAUGAAAAAUGGCUGUCACAUGUUAAACACAGUAGGGUAGAGUAAGCCCUUUUCGCCACCUUAAGGUUUUGUACCCUUGUAAUUAUUACAAUUUUUGUCGAAAUAAAAAGAAAUUUUCUGUACAA